rnacentral:tRNA from 1 species
AAUGAGGUGCCUGAUUAAAGGAGUAUCUUGAUAGGGUAAAUCAAGUAGGAAACUACCCUCAUUA